UACGUAGGGUGCAGGCGUUAAUCGGAAUUACUGGGCGUAAAGCGUGCGCAGGCGGCUCCUUAAGUCAGAUGUGAAAGCCCCGGGCUUAACCUGGGAACUGCGUUUGAAACUGGGGGGCUAGAGUGUGGAAGAGGGGGGUGGAAUUCCAGGUGUAGCAGUGAAAUGCGUAGAGAUCUGGAGGAACACCGAUGGCGAAGGCAGCCCCCUGGGCUAACACUGACGCUCAUGCACGAA
rnacentral:rRNA from 1 species